rnacentral:rRNA from 1 species
AUUGAACGCUGGCGGCAUGCCUUACACAUGCAAGUCGAACGGCAGCACGGGAGCAAUCCUGGUGGCGAGUGGCGAACGGGUGAGUAAUAUAUCGGAACGUGCCCAGUAGUGGGGGAUAGCCCGGCGAAAGCCGGAUUAAUACUGCAUGAGACCUGAGGGUGAAAGCGGGGGAUCGCAAGACCUCGCGCUAUUGGAGCGGCCGAUAUCAGAUUAGCUAGUUGGUGGGGUAAAGGCCUACCAAGGCAACGAUCUGUAGUUGGUCUGAGAGGACGACCAGCCACACUGGGACUGAGACACGGCCCAGACUCCUACGGGAGGCAGCAGUGGGGAAUUUUGGACAAUGGGCGCAAGCCUGAUCCAGCAAUGCCGCGUGCAGGAAGAAGGCCUC